rnacentral:rRNA from 1 species
UACGAAGGGGGCUAGCGUUGUUCGGAUUUACUGGGCGUAAAGCGCACGUAGGCGGAUCGUUAAGUCGGGGGGUGAAAUCCUGGAGCUCAACUCCAGAACUGCCUUCGAUACUGGCGAUCUUGAGUCCGGAAGAGGUGAGUGGAACUCCUAGUGUAGAGGUGGAAUUCGUAGAUAUUAGGAAGAACACCAGUGGCGAAGGCGGCUCACUGGUCCGGUACUGACGCUGAGGUGCGAAAGCAUGGGGAGCAAACAGG